AGCAGCCGCGGUAAUUCCAGCUCCAAUAGCGUAUAUUAAAGUUGUUGCAGUUAAAAAGCUCGUAGUUGAAUUUCGGGAUCAAUACGUCGGUCGUGCUUCGGUACGUACUGGCGUCAUUGGUUUCUCCCUUCUGACGAACCAUGAUGUCAUUAAUUUGGUGUUAUAGGAAAUCAGGACUGUUACUUUGAAAAAAUUAGAGUGUUUAAAGCAGGCUCACGCUUGAAUACAUUAGCAUGGAAUAAUGAAAUAGGACGUUCGAUCCUAUUUUGUUGGUUUCUAGGAUCAACGUAAUGAUUAAUAGGGAUAGUUGGGGGCAUUAGUAUUCAAUUGUCAGAGGUGAAAUUCUUGGAUUUAUUGAAGACUAACUACUGCGAAAGCAUUUGCCAAGGAUGUUUUCAUUAAUCAAGAACGAAAGUUAGGGGAUCGAAGACGAUCAGAUACCGUCGUAGUCUUAACCAUAAACUAUGCCGACUAGGGAUCGGAUGAUGUUAAUUUUUUAAUGACUCAUUCGGCGCCUUACG
rnacentral:rRNA from 1 species